rnacentral:misc_RNA from 1 species
UUUCCGUAGGUGUACCUGCGGAAGGAUCAUUACUGAGUGAGGGCCCCUCGGGGUCCAACCUCCCACCCGUGUUUAACGAACCUUGUUGCUUCGGCGGGCCCGCCUCACGGCCGCCGGGGGGCAUCUGCCCCCGGGCCCGCGCCCGCCGAAGCCACCUGUGAACGCUGUCUGAAGUAUGCAGUCUGAGACAAUUAUUAAAUUAAUUAAAACUUUCAACAACGGAUCUCUUGGUUCCG